rnacentral:rRNA from 1 species
UACAGAGGGUGCAAGCGUUAAUCGGAAUUACUGGGCGUAAAGCGUGCGUAGACGGUUAUGUAAGUCAGGUGUGAAAGCCCCGGGCUCAACCUGGGAAUUGCAUUUGAGACUGCAUAGCUAGGGUGCGGAAGAGGGAAGCGGAAUUUCCGGUGUAGCGGUGAAAUGCGUAGAUAUCGGGAGGAACACCGGUGGCGAAGGCGGCGACCUGGGUAGAUACUGACGCUGAGGCGCGAAAGCGUGGGGAGCAAACAGG